GGUCUCGUGGCCUAAUGGAUAAGACGUUGGUCUUCGGAACCGAAGGUUGUGGGUUUGAGUCCCAUCGAGAUCG
rnacentral:tRNA from 1 species